AAAUAGUAAGCGCUUGGAGUAAUAAAAAAUGACAAGCUGCGUUUUUAAAAACACGAGAAAAAAAAAGUAUAGAGAAAUAAAGAAAAGCAUGGAAAUAAAAAGUAAGGACAUCUUAUAUAGUAAUAAACAAAAUAAACGAAUUUGGUUACAUGGUAAUUACUCUAAUUAUUUUUAUGAGCGAUAUAAAAAAAAAAAAAUAACAUAUGAAGAGGAGAAUAGCGGACGAAGUAAUACUAAGGCUGGUAGUAAUACUGUUAGUAAUGCUGUUAGUAAUGCUGGUAGUAAUGCUGAUAGUAAUGUCAAUAGCGGUGCCAAUAACAAUACCCGUGGUGACGAAAACCAAACUAAAGAAACAAACGAAGUGAAUAAAAAAAGUAUGCACAUAAUUGAUAUAAUAAGUACGAAUGAAACAGAAAUGAUUGAUGACUAUAGAUUAGCACAUGUUAAUAAUUUAAUAAAAAAUAUUUUUAAAAACAAAAUUAUAUUAGAUAUAGGUUGUAAUUGUGGAAUAACAACUUUUUUAUUAAGCUUAAAAUAUAAUUGUAAGAUUGUUAAUGGUAUGGAUAUAGAUGAUUCCAUAAUUGACAAGAAUCUUGGGGUGUUAAGAUUAUUUAUUCAAUUCGUUGUAAUUUAUAAUAAACAAAAACAUAUGAUACCUUUUUUAUUAAACCAAGCAAAAUUGAUACAAAUACAGAGGGACAUAUAUAUGGAUUUGUAUUUUUUAUAUGAACAGUUAAUGUUACAUCAUUCAGGCAUAAAUGAUAAUAAACAUAAUAAUGGAGAUGUAAAAAAGGAAAAAGAUUGUUAUAUAGUUAGUGAUGAUGUUAGCAGGGGUAAUAGUACUUACGAUAUAACCGACAAUGACCAUGACAAAGGAAUUAUUCUUGACCACAUAACUAACAACAACAGUAAAAAUAACAAUAAAAAUAACGAAGCAGACACAAGUGAUAAUAAUGACUGUAGAACUAACAAUGACAAUAACACUACUACUAACAACCGACUAUAUAUAUUCCCUUAUAAUAUAUAUUUCAUUUGUGCAAACAUUUUUGAUAAUAAAUUUCAACAAAUUGAAAAUAAAUAU
rnacentral:lncRNA from 1 species